rnacentral:rRNA from 1 species
UACAGAGGGUGCAAACGUUGUCCGGAAUCAUUGGGCGUAAAGCGCGUGUAGGCGGUCCGGUAAGUCCGCUGUGAAAGUCGGGGGCUCAACCCUCGGAUGCCGGUGGAUACUGUCGGGCUUGAGUACGGAAGAGGCGAGUGGAAUUCCUGGUGUAGCGGUGAAAUGCGCAGAUAUCAGGAGGAACACCAAUUGCGAAGGCAGCUCGCUGGGACGUUACUGACGCUGAGACGCGAAAGCGUGGGGAGCAAACAGG